rnacentral:rRNA from 1 species
UGGGGAAUAUUGCGCAAUGGGCGAAAGCCUGACGCAGCGACGCCGCGUGGGUGAUGAAGGCCUUCGGGUCGUAAAGCCCUGUCUGGAGGGAAGAAUCCUCGGCGACCUAAUACGUCGCCGACCUGACGGUACCUCCGAAGGAAGCACCGGCUAACUCCGUGCCAGCAGCCGCGGUAAUACGGAGGGUGCGAGCGUUGUUCGGAAUCACUGGGCGUAAAGCGCGUGUAGGCGGCCUUCUAAGUCUGGUGUGAAAGCCCGGGGCUCACCCCCGGAAGUGCACUGGAAACUGGGAGGCUUGAGUACCGGAGAGGAGGGUGGAAUUCCUGGUGUAGCGGUGAAAUGCGUAGAUAUCAGGAGGAACACCGGUGGCGAAGGCGGCCCUCUGGACGGAUACUGACGCUGAGACGCGAAAGCGUGGGGAGCAAACAGGAUUAGAUACCCUGGUAGUCCACGCCGUAAACGAUGGGCACUAGGUGUUCGGGGUAUUGACCCCUCGAGUGCCGCAGCUAACGCAUUAAGUGCCCCGCCUGGGGACUACGGCCGCAAGGUUA